AUGCUUGUUUUGGCAGCACAAAUACUAAAAUUGGAAGGAUAUAGAGAGGAUUAGCAUGGCCUCUGUGUAAGGAUGACAUGCAAUUUCAGGAAGAGUUCCAUAUUUUU
ensembl:snRNA U6 U6 spliceosomal RNA